CCCAGCGGCGCGUGUGAGAGUCGGUCGGGAGCCGCUUCCAGGAUCUUGAGAUCCGGAGAAGCCGGGAUCAGAGCGGCUCCUCAAGAGUUAUUGAUCUAUGAAAUGGCAGAGAAUGGAAAAAAUUGUGACCAGAGACGUGUAGCAAUGAACAAGGAACAAUAUAAUGGAAACUUCACAGACCCCUCUUCAGUGAAUGAAAAGAAGAGGAGGGAUCGGGAAGAAAGGCAGAAUAUUGUCCUGUGGAGACAGCCACUCAUUACCUUGCAGUAUUUUUCUCUGGAAAUCCUAGUAAUCUUGAAGGAAUGGACCUCAAAAUUAUGGCAUCGUCAAAGCAUUGUGGUGUCUUUUUUACUGCUGCUUGCUGUGCUUAUAGCUACGUAUUAUGUUGAAGGAGCACAUCAACAGUAUGUGCAACGUAUAGAGAAACAGUUUCUUUUGUAUGCCUACUGGAUAGGCUUAGGAAUUUUGUCUUCUGUUGGGCUUGGAACAGGGCUGCACACCUUUCUGCUUUAUCUGGGUCCACAUAUAGCUUCAGUUACAUUAGCUGCUUAUGAAUGCAAUUCAGUUAAUUUCCCUGAACCACCCUAUCCGGAUCAGAUUAUUUGUCCAGAUGAAGAGGGCAUUGAAGGAACCAUUUCUUUGUGGAGCAUCAUCUCAAAAGUUAGGAUUGAGGCCUGCAUGUGGGGUAUUGGUACAGCCAUCGGAGAGCUGCCUCCAUAUUUCAUGGCUAGGGCAGCUCGCCUCUCAGGUGCUGAACCAGAUGAUGAAGAGUAUCAGGAAUUCGAAGAGAUGCUGGAACAUGCAGAGACUGCACAGGACUUUGCCUCCCGGGCUAAACUAGCAGUUCAAAACCUAGUACAGAAGGUUGGAUUUUUUGGAAUUUUGGCCUGUGCUUCAAUUCCAAAUCCUCUGUUUGAUCUGGCUGGAAUAACAUGUGGACACUUUCUUGUACCUUUUUGGACUUUCUUUGGUGCAACCCUGAUUGGAAAAGCAAUAAUUAAAAUGCAUAUCCAGAAAAUCUUCGUUAUAAUAACAUUCAGCAAACACAUAGUGGAGCAGAUGGUGGCCUUCAUUGGUGCUGUCCCCGGCAUAGGUCCAUCUCUGCAGAAGCCAUUCCAAGAAUACCUGGAGGCCCAGCGGCAGAAGCUUCACCACAGAAGCGAAAUGGGCACACCACAGGUGAGACUUCACUCCGUUUUCUUCUCUUCCCCACCCCCACGGUUUCAGGCCGAAAUUACAUUCACUGCACUCACUGGCAUUUUUAGGCAAAUAGAGUGAGGUUUGUUUGUCAGUCUUAACAGAAGUUGAGGCUCUGUUUACUUUCUACUGGGAAAUUUGGCUUUGUCUAAAUCAGAAAAUAUAACUUCUAUUUUAUUUAUACAUCUCCCCAAAACAAGGGUAGGGCUAAUGGAAAAUAAUAGGUCUGUUAUGUAGAAUGAAUUAGUGCCUUGAUCUUAAAUGAUUUAUUGACAAGUAUACUUCCCAAGUAGAUUAAAAAGUUAAAAUUUAUAGCAUAACAAAGUAUUGGACUUAUUGAGGUCAUUUGAAUAUCUCCCUUCAUUUUUGCUCCAUUUUUCUUUUCAGAGGUGGGAAGAUCGUUUUUUUUUUAAUCAACCAAGGCUCUUAACAUAGCUGAACUUAAAAACUUUAACUUAAACUAAGCCUGUCUUUUCUGUAAACAGUUCUGUGGCAAAGGGAAGUGACUAGAAGAGGAUGAGUAAGCAGUAACUUGAAAUGGGCAUCUUGAAGGACGCAUGGUUGUUUUUUUUGCCAUUUCUUUUUUUAUGGUUUUACACUGCUUAUGUGGCCCUUUGCUGCCCUCAGUUGACUAAACAUGACUUCAGAAAUAGAUAGCAUUUAUAUUUUAAAAGCCACUCCCAAUACUGGAACAAGAAUAUAUAGCUAUCUUGACACUACUCUCUACAAGUAAAUUUAAUUUAAGAUAGUAGAAUUUAAUCAAAAACUUUUUUAUAUAGUAAAGACAAGAUGACCUCACAUUUGUCCCAUUCUAAACUAUAUGAAUCAACAUUGAUUUUAUAUGUAACAAAGUGAAAUCUUAAUAACUGGGUGUAAAAAGGCCUGAAUAUAGAUUUCAAGGUAGCUGGAGAUGUAAGACUUUUUCAUUUUUAAUUGUUUAGGCUUUAUAGAUUAUAAACUCCCAGUUCUUACUUUCCUUCAAACAUUGUGUAUGAUUCCCUUUUUGCUACUGAACUAAUGAAGUGUUUCUCGUGGAUUGUUCUGCCUCUGUUCUUGCAGGGAGGAAACUGGUUGUCCUGGAUGUUUGAGAAGUUGGUCGUUGUAAUGGUGUGUUACUUCAUCCUGUCCAUCAUUAACUCCAUGGCACAAAGUUAUGCCAAACGAAUCCAGCAGCGGGUGAACUCAGAGGAGAAAACUAAAUAAGCAGAAAAAGGUUUUAACGGCAGAAAUUAGAAUGGAUGGGUUCUGCCUUAAAUUGGGAGGACUCCAGGUCAGGAAGGAAAAUUCCCUUUUCCAACCUGUAUCAAUUUAAAAUUUUUUUUUUCUUGAAAGCAGUUUAGUCCCUAUUUUGCACGGACAUACUUUUCCUUUGUGUGUUAAGGUAAGGUAUCCACCCUCAAUUGGUGGAAUGUGAUGUUCAGCAGCAGACUUGACAGAAACUGGCCUUCUAUUUGUUACUUUCAAAAGGCCCACAUGGUACAAUUAAAGAAUUCCGAACACCAAAAAAAAGUUCCUAAGUAUGUUAAAUAUGUCAAGCUUUUCAGGCUUGUCGCAAAUGACUGUUUUGUUUUUCUAAGUCAUCAAAAUGUAUAUAAAUUAUACUAGAUUGGAUAACAGUCUUGCAUGUCUAUCAUGGUAAAAUUUAAUAGGCCAUCCUGCCCAGCCCUUACUCUCCCACCUUCAAAACAAGGCCAUUUUAUGAUGCAUUACACAUCCUCUUUGGAAGCUGAUCUUUAAAUUUCGAGACAGUAUAAGGAAAACUGGUUGGUGUCUCAUGAAUGAGCUGACACCAUUUUUUAUUCUGUAUAUUUAGAAUGAAGUCAUGAAAAACCUUUAUAAAUACAUCUUGAUCAUUCCAAAAUUGUGUCCGUUUUCUUGAGCGUUUUGAUUUUUCACUUUCUUUUAGCUUCUACCAACUAAUGGCAGCCUUGUCAAAUCCACCUCCAGCCGUAAUUCCUUAAGCCUUCAUUUAUUUGCAUGAAAGAGCCACCACCAAGGCAUUGUUUCGUUAGGCUGGAACUGGGCAGCUAAUUACCCACUGCUGAAAUGGCACCUUAGGGACUGGCAUAGCGAGGGGAUUUCUUGCUUGUGAAAACAGGAGAAAUGAUAGUAUACAAAUCAAAGGACACUGAAGAGAGAAAUAACUUUUUUUAAAACUGCACUGUCUGAUAUCUGUGAUAAUUUUAGCUCAGCUACAUGUACUCUGGUUUUAAUAGACAGAAAUUGACUUGUAUAUGUAACCUAAUUUUCUCUCCUUCUAGUAAGUGUUUUGUUCUUAUGUGAUUUUUCCUUUGGGAUGUUUCUGGUUGAACUUGGUUGUUUUGUUUUGCUUAGGAGGAAAAUCAACAAUUUCACUUUUUUCCCUUAGGAAAAUUGGUACUGACAUUACGUUGAGAGUAGAAUUGGGUUUAAAUCUCGACAGGCCAGAAACACCUGAUUUGUUUCAUCAAAUCCUGCCUAAAUGUCUGCUUGUUUUGCCUACCGUCGUGACAUCUCCAUGGCUGUACCACCUUGUCGGGUAGCUUAUCAGACUGAUGUUGACUGUUGAAUCUCAUGGCAACAGCAGUCGAUGGGCUGUCUGACAUUUUGGUAUCUUUCAUCUGACCAUCCAUAUCAAAUAUUCCCAUUCAAACAUUACCCAGCAUCAUGGUUUAUGAUCAGAAACUCGGGUCCUUAUGUCUAGAAGCACUGAAUCUUUUAUGCCAUGAUAUUGCAGCAGUGUCAAGAAGAUUUUAUGGAAAAUUGGGAUAGUCACCAUGACCACAGCUAAAUAAAUGAAGGACAAGCAACCUGCCUUGGGGUUGAAAAGGUUAUUACUUCUUAACAAUCUUUUUUUUUUCCCGUCCAGGGACUCUCUGACAGUUAUGACUAUUACCUUACUUGAAAAGCAGUACCCAAAUGCUUUAAUUUAAAUAGAUUCACAUCAACCGACAAUUUUUUAGAUUCUUUAGGGUUAGCCUGAGUUUCUAAGUCAGCUUCCAGCCAUGUUUCAUCUCCUUCACCUGCAUUUUAUUUGGUGUUUGUCUGAAGAAAGGAAAGAGGAAAGCAAAUAUGAAUUGUAUUAUUUGUACUAAAUCUUUCAGAUUUAUUGGUAAAUUUAUUUCAAGGUAGGGUAUUAGAAAAAGAAAAACUUUGUUUCUUAGGCUGAAGGUCUCAAUGAAUAAUACAUUUGACUUACGAUCACAAUUUGUUCACUCCUUCAAAUGAAUUUACUUUGAAAACAAAGAGCAGCUCUCCUUUCCUCCACUGAGCAGAUGAUCCUGCUGGAUUCCUGCUGGAGCAGUAUGCUACCCUUCUGUUCCAGUGGUUGGUUUCUUCCUUUCCUGUAUCCACCAAAGUGGACAUAAACAGCUACAUGAUCCCAAAAACAUACCCAGUUAAUUCCAGCUGACGGGAGACCAGAAAAUUUGUAAAUGGAUGGUUUGAUAUUACUGCAAAUAAAAAAAGGGCCUGGGAA